rnacentral:rRNA from 1 species
AUUGAACGCUGGCGGCAUGCCUUACACAUGCAAGUCGAACGGCAGCACGGGAGCUUGCUCCUGGUGGCGAGUGGCGAACGGGUGAGUAAUACAUCGGAACGUACCCAGGAGUGGGGGAUAACGUAGCGAAAGUUACGCUAAUACCGCAUAUUCUGUGAGCAGGAAAGCGGGGGAUCGCAAGACCUCGCGCUCUUGGAGCGGCCGAUGUCGGAUUAGCUAGUUGGUGAGGUAAAAGCUCACCAAGGCGACGAUCCGUAGCAGGUCUGAGAGGAUGAGCGGCCACACUGGGACUGAGACACGGCCCAGACUCCUACGGGAGGCAGCAGUGGGGAAUUUUGGACAAUGGGGGCAACCCUGAUCCAGCCAUGCCGCGUGAGUGAAGAAGGCCUUCGGGUUGUAAAGCUCUUUCGGCGGGGAAGAAAUGGCAACGGCUAAUAUCCGUUGUUGAUGACGGUACCCGCAUAAGAAGCACCGGCUAACUACGUGCCAGCAGCCGCCGUAAAAC